UACGUAGGGGCAAGCGUUGUCCGGAAUCAUUGGGCGUAAAGCGCACGUAGGCGGCCCGAUAAGUCCGUUGUGAAAGUCAGAGGCUCAACCUCUGGAGCCAAUGGAUACUGUCGGGCUAGAGUCCGGAAGAGGCGAGUGGAAUUCCUGGUGUAGCGGUGGAAUGCGCAGAUAUCAGGAGGAACACCAAUGGCGAAGGCAGCUCGCUGGGACGGUACUGACGCUGAGGUGCGAAAGCGUGGGGAGCGAACAGG
rnacentral:rRNA from 1 species